UUUGGCACCCUGGUGAAGCCUCUGGAUUCUUCAGAAUAAGAUCUGGAGCACCCAGGAAGGACCUCUGAGGAACCAGUUGGGGUGCUGGGGUAAUGAUUCUGGAAGGAAUUUCUCCAGGAACCCUUAGAUUUCAGCAUGCUGUUUGCCUUCUGUAAUAGUGCCUAAUUAAAUCAAAUUGAGUUUUGGAACGGAGCCAGUGUGCUUCAGAGUACAGAGAUGAUGCCAGCCUUCUGAGCUGUCCACAAUAAGAACUGGUCCACACUGAAAAGAGCCUCGCUGCAUCAAAAAAAAAAAUUGGAAAUCAUUUCAUGGAAGAAAACCUCCCAGUGAAAAUAUCCUAAUGAAAAGUGUUUAGUUUGA